UUUGAGUACAGCCGUGUAAACAAAAGCUUUCACCACCAACAAUGGAUACCGGCCCCCACAAUGCACUGCGAAAUCACGUGCCCCGCCGAUCCCAGUUAAUUGAAUCGUCAUCUCCCCGAAAGAAGUUUACGUCCUCUACUAAAGUCCACUUGCAUCAGGGUCACCCACCAGAACCAGCACUGAUGAUGUGUCUAUUGCCUGGUUCCUGUCGAGUGGCCAUCUCCUACAAUACAUAAAGAAAGCACUUGCAAAGGUUCUUGGGUUUCCCUAACUUCUAUAGGCAACUUAUUCGCAACUUAAGCAGCAAAGCUGAACCCUUGACGAGGCUCACAUUCGCUAAGGACCAGCGCAUGGGGAAGGACCGGUCAGUGGGAGGGAGCCGUGACACACCGCAGCCUAUAAAAGACCUAUAACUUGCUUCCAUUCAUUCAUCCAGCCAUCAUUUGAUCUUGUCAUCUCUCCUCUAUCAUGCUGUGUCCAGCUUUUCUUCAAGCCUCGCUGCUCCUCUGCCUCAUUGAGCAAACACUGCAGGGCGGUGUGAAACCUCAGGCUGUGUCCUGGGGCAGAGUGGUGCCAGCCAGAGGUAAAGGUG